rnacentral:rRNA from 1 species
GAUGAACGCUAGCGACAGGCUUAACACAUGCAAGUCGAGGGGCAGCAUAAAGAUAGCUUGCUAUCUUGGUGGCGACCGGCGCACGGGUGAGUAACACGUAUGCAACCUGCCUGUAUCUGGGGGAUAGCCUCCUGAAAGGGAGAUUAAUACCGCAUAAUACAUCGAAAGGGCAUCCUUUUGAUGUUAAACAUUUAUGGGAUACUGAUGGGCAUGCGUAACAUUAGCUAGUUGGUGAGGUAACGGCUCACCAAGGCAACGAUGUUUAGGGGUUCUGAGAGGAAGGUCCCCCACACUGGUACUGAGACACGGACCAGACUCCUACGGGAGGCAGCAGUGAGGAAUAUUGGUCAAUGGACGCAAGUCUGAACCAGCCAAGUCGCGUGAAGGAAGAAUGCGUUAUGCGUUGUAAACUUCUUUUAUAUGGGAAUAAAGUGCACCACGUGUGGUGUUUUGUAUGUACCAUAUGAAUAAGGACCGGCUAACUCCGUGCCAGCCGCCGCGGUAACAC